AUUGGUGCCUUCGGGAACUUAGAUACAGGUGCUGCAUGGCUGUCGUCAGCUCGUGUCGUGAGAUGUUGGGUUAAGUCCCGCAACGAGCGCAACCCUUUUCCUAUUUGCCAGCGGGUCAUGCCGGGAACUUUAAGGAUACUGCCAGUGACAAACUGGAGGAAGGCGGGGACGACGUCAAGUCAUCAUGGCCCUUACGGCCAGGGCUACACACGUGCUACAAUGGUCGGUACAAAGGGUUGCUACCUCGCGAGAGGAUGCUAAUCUCAAAAAGCCGAUCGUAGUCCGGAUCGCAGUCUGCAACUCGACUGCGUGAAGUCGGAAUCGCUAGUAAUCGCGGAUCAGAAUGCCGCGGUGAAUACGUUCCCGGGCCUUGUACACACCGCCCGUCACACCAUGGGAGUUUGUUGCACCAGAAGUAGGUAGUCUAACCGCAAGGAGGACGCUUACCACGGUGUGGCCGAUGACUGGGGUGAAGUCGUAACAAGGUAAGCGUAGAUGA
rnacentral:rRNA from 1 species